rnacentral:lncRNA from 1 species
ACUUAAUAAAGCUCCUUUCUUAUGUAGUGCAACACACUUUCACAUCAGAGGCGUAUUCAAGCAAAGGGCUUGGGUUCACGUGAACCCAUACUUCUUUUCCCAAAUCAUAUAUAAUAAUAUUAUAUUACUUCAAAAUUACUUAAAUAUAUGUGCGUGAACUCGUGCUCAAAGACUCUUAUAAUGCAAUUAUAUAUUACUGGGUGCGCCUAUACAUGUGAAAUU